AGCUAGCUGGGACUAUUCAAAAAUGUCCAGGUACUGGCUGAAGUAACUGCUUUACACCAUAAUGAUUUGGGGUUGCUCAUGGCUUCGUGGUGUGCAGGUUCGGCGUACAGGCAGCUGUGGCCCAAGGGCAGAAUGCUCCUGCUUGCAGUGCCUCUAGGAAGAAGCACCUGCAUUUCCCACUGACUACAACAGGCCUUGUGGUCACUGUGACCAGGAGAUUGCAGUUUCAUCCUGGGAAUCUGAAGGAACCAGCGGUGCCAGCAUGACCCAGCCAAGCCCUGGAAGGGCGUGUGUGGGACCCGGGAUGUCCAGUGCCUUCCCACAGUGCUCGCCUGGCACCAUCGCUCCUGCAGCAGGAUGGAUGGAUGGCUUCCCAUGCUGGCUGCUGCCUGCGCGCCGCAGGGACCUCAGGACCACGUCACGACAGCAGUGUCACAAGGCUGCUGUUGUUGAAGGUACCACUGCUUAUUUAUGUGCUAGCACCUUAUGGAAUACCAACUAAUUCUGCUAUUUCUACCCUAAUUCUUACGUAGUUUGCUCAUACAUGUUCAGAUAUAACUGCUGUGUGUCUGUAGAGUUUCUUACCCAGCAGUGCUGUAUUCUGAGCCAGCAGCAGCACAAGUGCUACCUGUUUUCUGUGCAAGUCCAGCUGUUCCUCUGAGUGCCUCCAGCCCUCAGAGGGCCCUGCAGGCAGUGAGUAACUCCUCGGGCUAGCAGUUGAGCGCACAUGCUGUACAAGCAGUACUUAGUAGUAUGGGGAAGUUUAAACGUACACCAUUGCAGAUAGGGA